CAUAUUAUUAUAUUCGGUUUUACCUAAGUUUUCGUGCUAAGGAUUCGUCGUGUACUCCCGUUGUGCAUGGUCUUAGUCUAAUUGGAAUUAAAAAUAAAAUGAAAAAUACAUUAAUAAGAAGGUACGUCUCUUAAUCAAGGGUCUGUUGUGGGCACAGGUGUCCAGAAAUGAAUGGGGGAAGAGAUGUUUGGUGUUUAACGCUUUCGGCUUCUCUCUCUCUCUCCCUCUCCUCUCCUCUUUCGGCUUCUCUUCGCAAUCGCCGGCGGGGGCGAGAUACCGUCGGAUUCGGAGAACGAAGAUGACUUGGAGAUGCUUCGGAGCCUCAAGAGCCAAUUAGCUUCGUCGACGGGGUCCUCCCGUGGGUUUACCACUGCCUUCGGAUUCGGAGAGUGGUGACGACUUCGAGUUGCUUCGGAGCUGGCUUUGUCGAUGAUGAUUUUUUUUGAAACGCUUCGUGCUAUUCGUAGGCGGUUCUCUACUUAUGCAAAUCUUGUGGAAGAAGAAGCGCAUGAGGAGACUGAAGAGGAAGCGCAGGAAGAUGAGACAGCAAUCCAAGUAGUCUGUGUCUCCAUGCCUAUCCAUAAAUCUCUGAACCUUUAUGUUUUGUGCCAUUACAUUUAUGUUGGAAUAAUCGUUUGUAGAACAUGGUUUGAUCACUCCCUUUAUUUGUCUACCCAGAGCAGAGAUUUAUCUUA